ACCCUAAUUUGACACACCUGACUCUACUAAUUAGCAGCUCAACGAGAUCUCUGGCUGUUGAAUGAGGUGUGCUUUGUUCGGGUUGGAGUGAAAACCUACAGGAUGACAAAUCUCCAGAAACACGGUAACCAAUAAGUAAAGACGAAGACAGAAAAUUACCUUGAAAUAUGGGAAACGAGAAUGCCAAGCAGAGCCAACAGCUGCAGACGGGCGGAAUGAAAACAAGGACGGACCAUUUCCGUUCCUUCCAUAAUCUUGGGUGUCCGUGUCGUACCUCCGGACACCAUGUUCUGGAACUGCAGAGCGUUUUCCUGCAUGCGGAAUUGCCUGGACUUGAGCUGCUCGGGCUCGCCCUCGGAGGUCAAGUCGCCGUCGACGACGGACUCCUGCCCCUGCGCCACCUCGAACUCCGACAGCACUCUAGGGGCCAGUGGGGGGGGGAGGGGGUACACCCCUCCAAGAGAACAAGGGGAAGAGAGACAUUCCCCUGGGAGAGGAAAGGUGCUGCUGCCAAAAUUUGGCUGCACAAAUAUGGAAUUACCGACUACCGCCUGAGGGACAGUUGUGACCCUUAAUGUCAAUAAAUUAUAAUGGAUUGUCA